UGAGGAGCAGAAGAAGAGUGCUGCGUUUGUUUGGUGUCUGUUAGCCGCUCCUUAGAAAACCGGACCGUGCACAUGAGAGCGAGGAGGAGGCGGCAGCAGCAGCAGCAGCAGCUCUCUAGCGAGGACACGAGACAUCCGGAAGAAGUCGCGUCCCCAUUUUCAUCUUCCUUUCUUCUUUGGGAGCAACGAGUCGUAGUACGUGUAGCCUCUGCUAGCUAAACAAGGUUGUCUCCUGGGCAGACCGCGGCGAACACGUGGAGUGCAGCAGCCCUGGCCGGUGGGAUGGUGGGAUGGACACUUGUUCUUAUUGAGAGGUUGAAGCAUACAGCCUGUGAGGAGGAACACACACGGGUAUCUUCUACCAAGCGUGGUAUGCUGCAAACACAAGAGAAAUUUGAACUCUAGUCUUUUGUAGGCCUACAACGUCGUCCUUUUGAAAACCAGAACGACCGCAGUGCCAAUGGAUAAACAUCUCAAAAGCGCGCCUGCUGACUUUGACAUGACGAUGGACACCACAGUUUCCAGACAACCAAUCACAACAAAGCAUUUCCAUUCCUCCAUUUUAAACAAUUAAAUUGUUGAUGGUGACUGUAUGCUUAGUUGCACAGGAAAUGAAGAGAAGAAGCACAACAUUUAGAAAUUGUUAUGCCAUUUUUGAUUUAUAUUUAUUUUCAUCUCGAGAAGAACUAUCCUAACUUGUAAGACUAAUCAAUGAUCAUGUUCCUGUAUCCAUAUCUUCUUUAUGAAUAUCUCCUUGUCUGGUCCAAAGGGGUUGAGUCUGUUGCAUAACAUAGUUUCUGCUGUAAUUCAGGCCUCAUGGAGCAAGUUGUUGUGUAUCUACUGUGUGUCAAUGUACCAUUAAUGCAGUGCAAUUAAUCUUGUUUACAUUGCAUCUUUUACUAAAUGUCUUAGUAUGCGAUGCUAAAAAAAAAAAAAAAUCAAGAAUUAUGUUUCACUUCCUGAAAUUAGUGGGCUGUGAAUUUAGAGGAUUAAGUGGUGAUUGCUUUGGGGGGGAAAGUGCUUUUACAUUGUUUUCGUUCUCACUGAGAGAAUAUACUUUUUUUUUCAUUACUUAUAAUAAAAAUUCCCAUUGAGAAAAUGUGUGUUCAUUGUUCAUGUUGAGACGGAAGAAAAAUGAGUGAGACUAUACGUUCUCUAAACACUCAGAUGAUGUACACAUUACAUCUAUUGCACCUGUCCAUCCUGGAGAGGGAUCCUUCUCUGUUCUCUCCUGUAGGGUUCUUCCCUUUUUCCCCCUGAAGGGUUAUUUGGGAGUUUUUCCUGAUCCGAUGCGAGGUUUUGGGGCAGGGAUGUCUAUGUACAGCUUGUAAAGCACUCUGAGACAAAUUUGUGAAAUUGGGCUAUACAAAUAAACUGAAUUGAAAUAAAAGAAUGUUUAGAAGUAGUGAAGACAGCAAAACUAUUUCAUUGAGAAUCAAUUCAUCAGUUUGAUGUGCAAGUGGUUAUUGUGCAAAUUGUAGACCAUUUAACUUACUCUUUGCACAGAACACGUGCAAUUAGUUUGAAAUAAUGAGAUAAUAAAAUCAGUUGUCAACAAAAAACUAAUUGUAAAACUUGCAAAUGGGAAAAACUAAUAUUUUUUUCCUGAACAUAAGCCUGUGAAAGAAUUGUAUUUGAGAAACUGUAUUUUGCAUUAGAAACCAUGCAUGAAAACCCUGACGUCAGCUUUAUUAUGAAUAUUUACUGCAUGAUUUUUUUUUGUGAUCAAAUCUUUUAUUGGUUUUCGAGAUAUGCACAUGCAAAGGGAAAGAUGUACUGUACGUAUACAAAAGUACUCAGCCAAAAACUAAAUAAAAAAAGAAUAGAUAUAUAAAUAUGGGUAGACAUGCAAAAACCUGCACAUAUAUAUGCACAUACCUGCAUAUCCUAAUACACAAACACAUAAAUACUGUAAAUGUACCCCCUUCAAACAUCUCCAGCUAUAAGGGGAUGUAUUAUAUUAUUUUACAAUUAUAUAUAUAUAUAUAUUGUUAAAUGUUGCUUAAAGCCGUGGACCAGGAUAAGAUUGUUCCACCAUGUAUUCCGGCUAUUGAAAGUUCCAUAUUCACUAUAUCAAGGUAGCUAGCUAACCACUGGGGUUUCGUAAGAGUGUGCAGGGGACUCCAGCGCAUUGCUAGACAUGAUUAACAAAAAAAGGAUGAUCAUAUGCUGGAAAUAAAGCAUACGGUUCCUCCGACAAAAUAUGUGUCAAAUGUCAAGUUAUUCGAAUCGUCAAAUGUCACAUUUUGUACAACAUGAACAUCUAUUUAAAAUAAAAUGCUUUUCAAUGUCAAAA